UACGGAGGGGGCUAGCGUUGUUCGGAAUUACUGGGCGUAAAGCGCGCGUAGGUGGCCCCAUAAGUCCGCUGUGAAAGUCAAAGGCUCAACCUUUGAAAGCCGGUGGAUACUGUGGGACUAGAGUACGGAAGAGGCGAGUGGAAUUCCUGGUGUAGCGGUGGAAUGCGUAGAGAUCCGGAGGAACACCGAUGGCGAAGGCAGAUCUCUGGGCCGUAACUGACGCUGAGGAGCGAAAGGGUGGGGAGCAAACAGG
rnacentral:rRNA from 1 species